UGGGGAAUAUUGGGCAAUGGGCGCAAGCCUGACCCAGCAACGCCGCGUGAAGGAAGAAGGCUUUCGGGUUGUAAACUUCUUUUCUUGGGGACGAAGAAAGUGACGGUACCCAAGGAACAAGCCACGGCUAACUACGUGCCAGCAGCCGCGGUAAUACGUAGGUGGCAAGCGUUAUCCGGAUUUACUGGGUGUAAAGGGCGUGUAGGCGGGGAAGCAAGUCAGAUGUGAAAAUCAUGGGCUCAACUCAUGACCUGCAUUUGAAACUGUUUUUCUUGAGUGCUGGAGAGGCAAUCGGAAUUCCGUGUGUAGCGGUGAAAUGCGUAGAUAUACGGAGGAACACCAGUGGCGAAGGCGGAUUGCUGGACAGUAACUGACGCUGAGGCGCGAAAGCGUGGGGAGCAAACAGG
rnacentral:rRNA from 1 species